UACGUAGGGUGCGAGCGUUGUCCGGAAUUAUUGGGCGUAAAGAGCUUGUAGGCGGUUUGUCGCGUCGGCCGUGAAAACUUGGGGCUUAACCCCAAGCCUGCGGUCGAUACGGGCAGACUUGAGUUCGGCAGGGGAGACUGGAAUUCCUGGUGUAGCGGUGAAAUGCGCAGAUAUCAGGAGGAACACCGGUGGCGAAGGCGGGUCUCUGGGCCGAUACUGACGCUGAGGAGCGAAAGCGUGGGGAGCGAACAGG
rnacentral:rRNA from 1 species